CAGCAAACCAAUCCAAACCCUAGCAGCCCGCGCCUGCCUCUCUCCCCCCUCUCCGCCGCCUCUCUCUUUCCCCUUCUCCCCGAUCCAGAUCCAACCCAAGCGCCCCGUCCUCCGCCGCCGCCCCGUCCCCUGCCAUAGCCACGACGUCACGACGUCCCUUGCUCCCUCUCCGCCUACGGGGCCGCGCCCCUCGCGCUGCUCCCCAAUGACGCGGGCCUCGACCCGCGGGGCUCGUCCAAGUGGCGGGCGACUGGUGGCGGCGACACCAGCGUUGUCGCGAGGGGGCCGCGAGUGGCGGGCGACCCGCACCUCUUACGUCUUCCUCCCCUCGGCCUCGAUUCCCUAAUCCACCAAAUGUCGCCGACCUCCUCUCCUCUCCCACCAUCAACCUCCUCUCCCCAGCCAGCCCCACUGACGACUUCCGCGGUCUUCCCAUCCCCAGCGGCCUCCUCCCUCGACCCCAUCGCCGGCGGCCCCUAACCUCUCCUCCUCUCCCUGGCGACUGGCGAGGGAGGAUCCAGAUCCACUUGAGCGUGGCUGCGGCGGCCACGCACCGGCAGAGGAAUCCUCCUCCUCCUCCGACACCACCGCCUCCGCGCCCUCCUCCUUCAACCCCCUAGUCCCCUGCCACGUCCAGCCUCCACAUACACCCCUCCUCGCGCCCGGCCGAAACCCUAGCCAGCGGGCGGCCUUGGCGGACGAAGUUGCCACACGCCGGAGGUGCAGCGCAGGCCUCACUCCUCCAAGACCCCGACAAUGUUUGCUUGGUGUGUGGAGAGGGCCAAAGGACAAGAUGCUUCAAUCUGGCGAGGACAGAGCCAAAGGACCAAAGUUUGUUUAUCUGUUGCCAAGUUUGGUACCAUCCCGUGGGGAGGCCAGGGACAAGCUGCUCCGAUUCGGCGAGGAUGCCCACCAUCUGUUGUUGCCAAGCCUGCAGGGUUCAUACUGCUCCUUUGUGUUAUUUUUUUGCCUUGAGAUUGUUUCAAGAUCCAGAAGUGAGCAAUUUUGCAUGGCUCAGAUUUUGACGCCUCUGAAUUAGUAGUGCUAAUUAUUCCCAGGUCACAAGAGUCUGUAGCUUCUGAAUUUAAUUGUAUGCAUGCAAUACUUAAUGGUAUUGUUGUGCAAUUCGUACUGAGCAUGCAUCAACAGUAGGAGUGCUUAGUGCAUGCAUCAACAACUAUCUGGGUUUGAUUGCUGGACUUGUAAAUGUAUGGGUUGGUCUGGGUUUGGUUUGGAUUACAAACUAUUGCCUGGUUGUCUUAAUGUGCUGAAUAUUUUCAAAUGUUGUGGCAGCUGGGAUACUGAAUUGUACUUAGUUAUUUGAUCUACUCAUGUUCAUGCUGCUUGUUAAGUGAUUAUAUUUAUGUUCUUGCUACUAGUAGGAUGGUCAAUACAUGCUUGUUAUGUAACUUUAGAUCUUUCGUGGAACUCCUAGUCCUUCAUAUCUAAAGUUAUUUUGACAUUCUGCAUAGAUUGUAACAUCGCUUGAUUGCUUAUAUCUUCCUUCUGAACCUGCAAACCUUGAUGUAUAAUUAGUUAAUUACACACUUUGAUAUGUCCAACUGAACCAACUUUGUUAAUUACACACACACACACACACACACACAUAUAUAUAUAUAAUAUAUACAUGCCCACACGUCAAAUAUAUGGUGUUGUAUUAUGCUUAUGCUACUUGUAUCACCAGUGUUUCCUCUUGUUU